UGUUUAGAAAUACUGGUCUGGGUCCAUCCCUAAAAUGUCAGAAAAACAGAAAGACCAAGGAUGGAAUAGUCCGUGACUUGGGAAGGGAAGAAGGAAUCUACAAAAGCUCCGGAAAGAACAGUCAGUGGGACAUUGGCCAUGGAGCGCAACACAGAGGAGAUAAUUUUAGAGCAAACAGCACAUUCUACUAUUUUAUGGAUUGAAGAAGUGCCUGUCCCUUUGGAUUAUUCUGACUGACCAACCAGUGCAACACUGCAUCUGAAAGAAAAAACCGAAACCUUGCACAACUCUCAAGAACUUAACCCACAAAAUGAUUGUCAUGUUUAUCAAAACCUGAAAGUGGACAGCACCUGCAAAGAAGAGUGAUGAGCCUGGCACCUCGCUGUUUAAGAGUAAAGCCUACACCCUACGCCAUGCGGUGCAGCAAUAGAGCGGACGUCGCUGAAGUGUGCCACGAAGAACCAUGCAAGGUUAAAUCUCACCGUGAGUCUCCUCAGCCCGUCUCCAUGGCAACUGCCAAACAUCAGCACGCACCUUGUGUGUCCCCUACCACGCACAGUAAACCACCUCCCGUACCACAGAGUCGGAGAAAUUGUUCAUGGCUAAGUUGUGGACCAGAUGUCCAUCUUUACCCCCGUUCCCUGAGUUAGGAGGGGGUCAGUUAGCACACACCCCCUCUCGUGAGCCCCAAAAUAAGAGGCCAGUGCAGCAGGACCCAAGGCCCAGCCGUCAGCCCAUGUGCACCUGUCACGCUUGCGUCUUUAGUUCAUGGCAUCCAACAUCCAAGGGGAAAGGAUUUGUGUGUCAGACUGUGGUCCACUUAGAGAAAAGGGAUCACUACCCCACGCUCUCCACGGAAGCAUGUUCCAAAUGGAUUUGACAGCACAGGGGUGCAGGUAAGAGGUCACAUCACUUGGGAAAAGAUUCUCUGAACAUUACAUAAGAGGAAAAAUGAUAGCACUGGCAUAAAAGUUUAAAAACUCUAGACAUAGAAAACCAUAAGUAAAAUUAAAAAGGAAAAGACAAGCUUGAAAGAAGGACACGUGCCUAUUGCUGACCAAUAGCAAAGCAGACUUGGGUGUUCCAAGAGAGUGAUGAGGGGACCUCCCAAAGCCCAGUUUUCUCUCAUGAAAAAUGGUGGUUAUGAUAACGCACCUAAAGAGCUGAAUGCUUGCCAUGAGUUUGCAGUCCUCAAUAAAUGAUUUUGUUUUUCACUGUGUGUGUGUGUGUGUAUGUGUGUGCACCUUUACAAACCGACUGGCCCCACUUGCCUGGAAGUGGAUUUUAGCACAGAAAGCCGCGCAACCCGGGAACCUCCUCAGUCCAGGGCAAACCAGCUCAUCCUGCUGCGCACACACGGGGAAGAGCCCGCAAGACAAAAAGAGCCAAGGUUUC